rnacentral:rRNA from 1 species
UACGGAGGGGCUAGCGUUGUUCGGAAUUACUGGGCGUAAAGCGCACGUAGGCGGCUUUGCAAGUCAGAGGUGAAAGCCCGGGGCUCAACCCCGGAAUUGCCUUUGAGACUGCAUCGCUAGAAUUGUGGAGAGGUAAGUGGAAUUCCGAGUGUAGAGGUGAAAUGCGUAGAUAUUCGAAGACACCAGUGCGAAGGCGACUUACUGGACAGCAUAGUUGA